GUGCAGGCAGAGUGACAGGGACAGCUGCCCCGUGGCGUUCAGAGGGAACCAAGCAGUUCAGUUCCGCAGCCUGGGGGACAAGUGUGUCACUACAGCCCUGCUUCUCUGAGAGAAGCCACCUCAAAGCAGUCGGGGGUGCUCGCAGCUCUUGGAGCCACAGUCAGGCAUCUGGGACCCCAAGGACCAAGCACCAGGGACCCCGAGAGCCGGGCAUUUGGGAUUCCCAUCCCCCUCAUCCCCCCCAGUCCUACUCCACCUGCGGCACCACGGGCCACGGCUCCCAUCACCAGAUCGGCUCCCUGCUGGACUUUAGCAGCGGGGUCUGGACUCCAUCCCCAUCUGUGGCGACAGAGACGCUGGAGGAAGGAGAUUUACGUUCUCGGAGGUGAGCUAACAACCAGGGGAAAAGCUCAAAAUACAGGAAAGAGGAGAGUUAGACGUCUGCUAGUUCAACGCAGAAUCAGGACGAGCCAUUGCAGAGUUCCUGCCGCGAGAAUCACUGGGCCUCACUGUCACCGUCCCAGCCGAGAGCCCCUGAGAUGUCGCUGUGUGUUCAGAGAUCAAGAAUUAGAAUGAACGUGGCAGCGAACGUACAAUGCCUUCAAAUCCACAGAUCUGGAUCUGUGGACCCACAAGAGCUCAGGACAAAUGGAUUCCUCACUGGACCCCAAAGUCAAUAUCCCAUCCGUCAAAGAGGCCCAUUCCUGCCAUUAUCAUCAGAUGCUGUUGUUCCAUGAACACCCUGGGUACAUGAGUUCUUGUGCUGAACCACUGCAAACAGAUCUCAGCAGUGUUACGGGAGGCAGCUGAAGUCCCCUCCACAUUCCCCCCUCCACCGCCCCCCAGCAGCAACCGGAGAUCUGCUUAUCCCUGCCGGGCACACACAAGGCACACUCAGUAACCUCACCCAAGUUCACUUGCUGGAGCCAAGACUAUUUAAAGACAUCAGUGGAAUUCUUACUCGACCUCAUGACUCAGAGGGAAAUGGCAGUGUGAGGCUUUCUUUGCAGAGCAGGACAGUGGCUGGAGCUGGAGACCAUACAGGCAGCUGUCACACAAACACCGUGUGUGCCAGGAUCUCACCCGCUCGUGUCCCCUGGUGUCUGCUG
rnacentral:lncRNA from 1 species